rnacentral:rRNA from 1 species
AUUGAACGCUGGCGGCAUGCCUUACACAUGCAAGUCGAACGGCAGCACGGGAGCAAUCCUGGUGGCGAGUGGCGAACGGGUGAGUAAUAUAUCGGAACGUGCCCAGUCGUGGGGGAUAACGUAGCGAAAGCUACGCUAAUACCGCAUACGAUCUAUGGAUGAAAGCGGGGGAUCGCAAGGCCUCGCGCGAUUGGAGCGGCCGAUGUCAGAUUAGGUAGUUGGUGGGGUAAAGGCUCACCAAGCCAACGAUCUGUAGCUGGUCUGAGAGGACGACCAGCCACACUGGGACUGAGACACGGCCCAGACUCCUACGGGAGGCAGCAGUGGGGAAUUUUGGACAAUGGGCGCAAGCCUGAUCCAGCAAUGCCGCGUGCAGGAAGAAGGCCUUCGGGUUGUAAACUGCUUUUGUACGGAACGAAAAGGCUCUGGUUAAUACCUGGGGCUCAUGACGGUACCGUAAGAAUAAGCACCGGCUAACUCUGUGCCAGCAGCCGCCGUAAUAC